rnacentral:misc_RNA from 1 species
GAUGAAGAACGUAGCGAAAUGCGAUAAGUAAUGUGAAUUGCAGAAUUCAGUGAAUCAUCGAGUCUUUGAACGCACCUUGCACCCUUUGGACUGCUCCAAAGGGUAUGCUCGUUUGAGUGUCAUUGUACUCUCACACUCUCUGAUCCUUUGGAUUUGGGGAGCAGUGGACUUGGGUGCUUGCUGCUUCCUUGUGGCUCACCUGAAAUGCAUCAGUGCAUCUCUCGAUUGGACAUAGUACGGCGUGAUAAGUGUCUUCGCCGGCACCUCAUAUGAGGGUGGCCGAUCGGGAGCUCUGUGCUUUCAAACCGUCUUCGGACAACGCUGACAACUUGACCUCAAAUCGAGUAGGACUACCCGCUGAACUUAAGCAUAUCAAUAAGCGGAGGA